ACAAGCAGACCUUUGUCAGCGCUGGCAGGCGAAAGCGGCGCUGCCGUCCCCCCGUCCAAGUGCUCUGCCAGUUGAAAUGGAAAAUAUCAAAUCGGUCAUCUUAUCCAGGAAUCGCUUCUUCGAGAAGAAGGAAGGCCAAAUUGCUUGCAUGUGGCAAAAAACUUUCCUCCUUCACAUAGAUGUUAAAAUCAUAGUAUUCCAAGAAUAAUCUCUGAACAAGACGGGGUUUUGUUCUAUUAAUUGUGGCUGGAAGGAAACUUUUUUAAAUGGAAAUACAGCACACGUAUAUUUCAAUUCAGGUUAUUAAGCUGUGUUAAGUAUUAAAGUUGAUUGCCUUUCUUUUCACUAACUCAUUGUGCUUUUUUAUCCAAAGAAAUAUUAGAAGACUAAAACCUCUCAAAUAGGAGAUAUUAAUCUCAUUCCCAAAAUUAGAAAGCAUGCGGUGUUGAGAGACUGGAUGUCAAAAUUACAUCUGCGUAGCACUUAUGGAGUGGGAAACUGGGAACCAACAGCUUUUAAAAUGGGAGCUUAAAGUAAAUGGAGACUCUUGUGAGAGAAGUGAUCAAAACCUGGUGUUCUUGUCCUUACUGGAGUGAGGGGCACCCUUUCAGAUAAAAACAUGGACCUGAUUGGCAUCAUCCUGUAUCCAUGGAAACGUUUUAAGUACCUCUCUCUCAAUAUGUACUUCUGUUAUUCAGGGUUUAAAAGCUGAGUACCAAAUAAAUUGCCGCAUGAGACCUAGGAUUGUGGUUGCUCUCAAGAACUUCUGCUUGGAGCCAACUAGGCAUAUCAGAGAGGUGAAACUUUCAGCCUCAGGGGAAGGAUGCAGCACACAUGACGAUUUUG